CCUACGGGAGGCAGCAGUGAGGAAUAUUGGUCAAUGGACGAGAGUCUGAACCAGCCAAGUAGCGUGAAGGAUGACUGCCCUAUGUGUUGUAAACUUCUUUUAUAAAGGAAUAAAACGAGGCACGUGUGCCUUGUUGCAUGUACUUUAUGAAUAAGGAUCGGCUAACUCCGUGCCAGCAGCCGCGGUAAUACGGAGGAUCCGAGCGUUAUCCGGAUUUAUUGGGUUUAAAGGGAGCGUAGAUGGGUUGUUAAGUCAGUUGUGAAAGUUUGCGGCUCAACCGUAAAAUUGCAAUUGAUACUGGCAGUCUUGAGUACAGUUGAGGUAAGCGGAAUUCGUGGUGUAGCGGUGAAAUGCUUAGAUAUCACGAAGAACCCCGAUUGCGAAGGCAGCUUACUAAACUGUGACUGACAUUGAUGCUCGAAAGUGUGGGUAUCAAACAGGAUUAGAUACCCUGGUAGUC
rnacentral:rRNA from 1 species